GAUCAUAAGAGCACCACCGAAGACGAUAAGAUGAGGACAGUCGUCAGGAGUCGUGCUUCUCUCCUCCUUACACUCGUUAUCGUCGUCUUCCUCGUCACAGCGAGAGGGGAGACGACCCCUGUGAAGGAAGCGAACCCGCAUAUUCCAUACCGUGCCCUGCGUCCUAGCAGUCAGCCCGCGUCCCGCGGAAGUCCCUAUACGAGGGGAUGCAGGUACAAUGUUUACUGCGGUCGGUCUUCGACCCGUCCGCCUCCGCCUCCGCCUCCGCCUCCGCCUUCGACCCCAUGAAAGGCUACUUCGGCAGCAUGGAGGAGUAGUUCCUUUGACGACGCAAAAUAUAUACAGGAGGCAGAUACGUAUAAUAUAUAUAUAUAUAUAUACGCACGGAUGUUCCCUCCAUCAGUUUGUCUCAUAAUACGAGUAGUGUACAUGUAUUAUUGUUAAUUAGACUUGAUUACUUUGUAGUUAUAAACAAUUAAUUAAUUAAGAAUAAAAAUGAGAAAGUGUCGUUUAGGGUCACAUGAACAUGUGCUAAAUAGAUUUAUAAAUAUUAUAGUGAGAUAAUUAGUAUUAAUGGUAAAUGUAGAAAGAGAGAGGGAGAAAUAAGAGGACUCUUCCAAGGACUAUAUUUAAGUGCACUUAAUUUAGCCAAACUAUUUUUUAUAAGAGUUGAAUGGAUGGUAAAAUUUAUGUAUCCGAUCCUUGAAACAUAAUGACUUAAUAUUGUUGUAGA